rnacentral:lncRNA from 1 species
GAAACCUCAUUGCGUAGUGUGAGCAACACAGUGAUUCGGCUAGUCUUCCAAUCAUGCAGUGUGAGCUUGCCAUUAAGGGCAGGCACUGUGCUUUGACGUUUUUAAGACCUAGGACAGUCUUGCGCACUUACUUCCUGUCACCCGCUCUCAAGUGGCCAAGACCGAAAGUACUUUUCAGGAUCAGCUUUACUGACAUUUUAUUUGACAAAGUGGCAAACAAACACUGGUGUGUUUCUCUCUCUCUCUCCUUCAAAGUCUGCAAACAGAAGAACAGGAAGUGUAUCUCCUCUUCCAGCUCUCGUGUCUCCACGCCCACAUUGCCAAACUGAGCCAGCUGAUUGAUUGACAUGCAAAUCAACAGCAGCUGUCAAGUCAUCAAUUGCAUUUUGUUUUUAAUUUGAACGGGAUGAUGCAUUUUUGAUGUGAACAUUAAAAUUAAACUUUUUUUUUUACGCACAUACUUUGCAGACACUUUUAAAUAAUCAAAAGGUUAUUCUGGGUAACUUAUUAACUUGCUGAUUUCCAUAAUGGUGUCCUUUACGACUAUUAGUAAUGUCAAGAUGUAAAUCUGUACAUACCUUCAGCUUUUAUGGGAGAAAAUUGAAGACCCUUCAGUGGAUAGUGAGGACCGCUGAGAAGAUCAUUGGGGUCUCUCUUCCCUCCAUCAUGCACAUUUACACAAAACGCUGCAUCUGCAAAGCCACCAACAUUGUGGCUAACCACACUCAUUCCCCACACACACACUUUCAUUUCAUGUGCAAUAUCAAACAUACUGCACUCACUGGUCAGUGUUGAGAUGCCACUGUUUAUUGCCCCACUGUCUUGUGUUGUUGCAAUGAAUGUUUUUCUCACUGUCCUGUACUGGUUGCACUAAAUGCUCACAUGUGCACUUUAUGUAGGGUAUUAGUGCUUUGUGUUUAUGCACUCUUGUAUUGUUUGUUAAUUUGUUGAUGUGUGUCUUGUGUUAUCUAUAUUGUUUUUAUUUAUGUUAUUCUGCAUAGCUCCGUGCUCUUGGAGGAACAUUGUUUUGUUUCACUGUGUACUGUAGCCUACUGUAUAGGGCUGAAAUGACAAAAAAAAAACACAUUGACUGAUAUGACAUGAGAUUACACGUUUUCUUUCGGCAGAUGCUUUAGUCCAGGGCUGCCCAAACUCGGUCCUGGAGGGCCC